AAACUGUGCCUCCAUUGGGUUCGAGCAUCCCACCCCAGAGCAUACUGGACUCCUGGAUUGAUGUCUGGAGCUGUGCAGUGCCACCAUAGCAGAAGGGGACAUACCAGCCUGGAGCAGGAGCUUCCUUGUGGAGCCCAGCAUCCUCCUCCCAGAGACCUUGGACUCAGAUGUUAUCAGAUGUCCACCCCCAGAACUCCCUUCCUCUCAUCUCCAGGGACUGUUGCUGGCCUACAGCCCAACCAAUGAGCUUAAAUCGAUCUCUGUGAUGAGCCCCAAUUACUGGUCUCAGGACCCUGCCUCAGCAUGGGUCUGGGGUUCCAGGAGAAAGAAGAUAGGACAGUCAUACACCAGCCUUUUCCCUCAGGUAUCCUCGGGACUUUUUCCUACU
ensembl:antisense Gm12963 predicted gene 12963